rnacentral:misc_RNA from 1 species
CUUUUGUGGUUUGACAAGCCAAACUGGUUCCCAUGUAUUUUGAAGGCCAGUUGAGCACAAACUCCUGUCCAGUAUCAUGCGUCUGAUGGGUUUUGAGCCUGUGUAUAUAAUGAUUUUUUUUUUNNNNNNNNNCCAGAUUGAUUUAUUGUUUAGGCUCAACCAGGCAAACUGCGAUUGCAAUUUUAGUUUUACAAAUCUCGGAUUGCUUGGUUGUAUCCAAUAAGAGGGGGGGAAAAAAAAAAAAAACCUUGUUGCCAUUACAGAGGGCAUGGCAUUAGAAUUUGUUUACUUGAACUAACCAAAGGUUGUAUCUUACUACUUUCAUCAUCACAUUAUUUCUU